AGCGCAGGCGGGAAGACAAGUUGGAAGUGAAAUCUAUGGGCUCAACCCAUAAACUGCUUUCAAAACUGUUUUUCUUGAGUAGUGCAGAGGUAGGCGGAAUUCCCGGUGUAGCGGUGGAAUGCGUAGAUAUCGGGAGGAACACCAGUGGCGAAGGCGGCCUACUGGGCACCAACUGACGCUGAGACUCGAAAGUGUGGGUAGCAAACA
rnacentral:rRNA from 1 species